GACGAACGCUGGCGGCGUGCUUAACACAUGCAAGUCGAACGGAAAGGCCCUGCUUUUGUGGGGUGCUCGAGUGGCGAACGGGUGAGUAACACGUGAGUAACCUGCCCUUGACUUUGGGAUAACUUCAGGAAACUGGGGCUAAUACCGGAUAGGAGCUCCUGCUGCAUGGUGGGGGUUGGAAAGUUUCGGCGGUUGGGGAUGGACUCGCGGCUUAUCAGCUUGUUGGUGGGGUAGUGGCUUACCAAGGCUUUGACGGGUAGCCGGCCUGAGAGGGUGACCGGCCACAUUGGGACUGAGAUACGGCCCAGACUCCUACGGGAGGAAGCAGUGGGGAAUAUUGCACAAUGGGCGGAAGCCGGAUGCAGCAACGCCGCGUGCGGGAUGACGGCCUUCGGGUUGUAAACCGCUUUCGCCUGUGACGAAGCGUGAGUGACGGUAAUGGGUAAAGAAGCACCGGCUAACUACGUG
rnacentral:rRNA from 1 species